rnacentral:rRNA from 1 species
UUGACCUCGGAUCAGGUACGGAUACCACGCU